AUUGAACGCUGGCGGCAUGUCUUACACAUGCAAGUCGAACGGUAACGGGUCCUUCGGGAUGCCGACGAGUGGCGAACGGGUGAGUAAUAUAUCGGAACGUGCCCAGUAGUGGGGGAUAACUGCUCGAGAGAGCAGCUAAUACCGCAUACGACCUGAGGGUGAAAGGGGGGGAUCGCAAGACCUCUCGCUAUUGGAGCGGCCGAUAUCAGAUUAGCUAGUUGGUGGGGUAAAGGCCUACCAAGGCAACGAUCUGUAGUUGGUCUGAGAGGACGACCAGCCACACUGGGACUGAGACACGGCCCAGACUCCUACGGGAGGCAGCAGUGGGGAAUUUUGGACAAUGGGCGCAAGCCUGAUCCAGCAAUGCCGCGUGCAGGAAGAAGGCCUUCGGGUUGUAAACUGCUUUUGUCAGGGAAGAAAUCUUCUGGGCUAAUACCCCGGGAGGAUGACGGUACCUGAAGAAUAAGCACCAGCUAACUACGUGCCAGCCGCCGCAGUAAGAC
rnacentral:rRNA from 1 species